GCGAGACAGGGGGGUCCGUGACCGGGCACGACAGAUAAACUGUCCGCGGACGACGCCGGGCGCAGCCCCCGUCCCGUCCACCAAUGAUCAGCCAGCAGCCGCUGCAACCCCAGGGAG
rnacentral:sRNA from 1 species